GUUGUGAUUUGCUUCUAAAUUACUACCUUUGAGCCAUCAGAGACAGC
rnacentral:other from 1 species